rfam:Schistosoma curassoni strain Dakar, Senegal genome assembly, scaffold: SCTD_scaffold0003086
AUUCAGCUGACCAGUCUCAAAUAGGACGAAACGCACAUCCUGGAU